rnacentral:lncRNA from 1 species
CUCUUACGUCUCUGCCUCCUCGACCUUGCACUAGAGAAGCCCCACUAUGAGGAGACCGAGAGCCGCCCUCCUCUGACCGCGCAUCCUUUUCAAGAGAGAGCAGAAAGCGUUGUCCAGCUUUCCCCAUUAAACAGACGGAGAGAUGUUCUAAGCUGGCCGGGAUUCUGAACGCCCUGCCAACGGUCUUUUCCCAGCAGAUGGGCAGCAGAACAGGCUCUCGCCUGUCAGACCUACCUGAAGUGCCCUCUUUCAUGCAGUCCUAUCUGUCAGCUGGAGGACCAGUUCUGGGAGGUGGACGUUGUUCUUUGGGCUCCAAAGGCCAUAUGCUAAAAAUACUGAUGGCAGAGACAGACACCCGAAGAGCACUUGGCAGUGAGGAUACUGUGCUAUGUGGAGCCUGUCCUUCAGGGGAAGAUCUCCCAGCUGCCCAGUUUCUCAGGAAAUCGAGUGAGUUCUCACUCCCGUGGUGCCGAACUAGUUCCAGGACCAUCAAGUUCUGAGAAGGAGAGGCAGCCUCCUUUGAAGCAACACACAGCCUUCACCAACCAGACAUGGCUGCCCAGUCUUGGACUUCUCAGGUUCCAGAGCAAUCAACCAAAAUAAACAAGUGAUUUGGGCCUCGGGUAGUCUCUUUAGUAAUGGAAAACUGAAAGGUUCCGAGUAUGAGACUCAAGGGGGAUAAAUGGGCAGAUUAUCCCUUCAGAAGAAUCUCUGCUAUGACGGCUUGCUCACAUGCAGAACAAGUUGCAGCUGGCUGUCGGCAGGAGACUUUAUUUCCUCCUCUGGGUGAGCUUCUUCCUAGAUUCCUCAUGACUGGGCAGCUAGCUUACCACAAGCAGACAGGAAGGAAGUGGCUACGCCUUCUUCAACUUGGUCCUAGAAGCGCUAGCCCAUCCUUCCAGCCAUAGUCAGUUGCCGAGUCAGUCACCAGUGAUUCAGAGAUGAGCAAGACACUUGCAGCUGGUUUGAAGGAUGCAAACAGGUUCACAAAAGAAUGCUGGGCAACAGCUGGCAUUUGGAGGGGGCCAGGGUAGCAUCACAGAUUCCAGGGAUGAUGCAAAAGAGGUGUCUUUGGGUCAGGAAAUUAACUCUGCUGCAACAGGCUUUGAGAGCAAUAGCAACCCUGCAAAGAGUACCAGAGAAAUGGAGUAUGGUGUGUCCAUUUCACCUGGACCAUCUUCUGAAGCCCCAAAUUAAACAACCUCACCAACAUCACCCUCUUUCCAUGUAGAGAGAUUAAAAGAAGACAAUAAAGGAAAUAGAAAAGGUG